rnacentral:lncRNA from 1 species
CAUGUGGGGUGAUGUGAAGUCUAACUAGCCCUGUUCUGUGUUUGCCAACUUUUCUUGUUAGGCUUGCUGAGAAGGCCAGAGAAAGAGUGUGCAGCAUACACACGGCUGGGGUCCCAUGCUGCACUGCCCGCCUCUGAGCUCGUAGACUGGGAUCCCAUGUAUGACUCACUCACGGAGGGCACAGACUCUGCGGCCCAGUGUGCAUCACAGACAUUGAAGGAUGCGGCUUCUGAGAGGGGUGCUCCCGUCCAGUGCGGACAUCGUGUGGUAACCUCUUUCUCUUUCAGGAAGAAGAGAAACAUAUCACAGAGUAUAUGUAAAAUGAUUUAAAUGUCCUUCUCUACUCCCCAAAAGCACGAUGAAAUUUAUAUUGGUCUUAUGGUCUUAUUAACAUUUGUGCUUGACAGAAAUCAUAAUAAUGAUGACCAUAGCGACUUCUACAGAAUAUUUGCUAUGUGCCAGGACUUGUGCUGGACACGUGGUAUAAAUUGUUUCAAUUAAUCACCCCAGUAAUUCGGCUGAGAAAACCGAGAUUCAUAUUUUAAGUGACUGUUCUAAGGCCCACACAUUAACUCAUAGGCUGGAACUGCAUGCCUCUUUUUGGUGCUGCAGGGAACCGAGGACUUCCUGAAUCUUCAUGAAUCUAAGCCCGCACUACACCACUGAGCUGCCUCUACCUCCGCCCCCUGCAGGGCUUUCUGCAAAACCUGCGCUAGUCCAUCCUACUGCAAUGACGCGGAAGAGAAAGGGAAGAGGUGUGAGGUGAGCAGGAGCAGGCAUCUCUCCAGCACUCGGCCUUCUAGUUCCGUACUUUACCUGUGUUUAGGCGUGGCCAAGUUUACAUAAUUCGUGCAUAGAUGGCUGCGAUUUCACACCAAAUGUGUUGUUUCCCAAAUGGACGUUCUGUCUGGUCAUUUUUUGUGAAUUUUAAAAAUGUAAAAUAGAUGUUAAAAUUAGAUUUAAG